CAGCACUCUCACACACAGCGCAGCACUCUCACACAUCAUAGCACUCUCACACACAUCAUAGCACUCUCACACACAUCAUAGCACUCUCACACACAUCAUACACAGCAAUCUCACACACAGCACUCUCACACACAUCAUACACAGCAAUCUCACACAUCGCAGCACUCUCACACACAUCAUACACAGCAAUCUCACACAUCGCAGCACUCUCACACACAUCAUAG